GCGGAAGCUACAAAAGGACGCCGGCACACAGCAGAGAUAGCUUUUGUUCUUCAGCAAAGCGCUCUCUGUCUCUUGUCUGUCUUAUUUGGUGUUGUAUUGUCUCAGUCACAAGCAUACAUUAUAAGCAUGGCGAGCUCAAGCAGUUACACGAGGUGUGUGCAUCCCUGCCCACGUUAUAUUACGGGUGGAGACACACAUCGUAAGUGUGUACACUGUAUGGGAGAGCAGCACGCGCAGGCAGCUCUCGAGGGGGCUGCUUGCGAGGAUUGUGAGAGAUUACCAAUCCGUGUGCUGUGCUCCCGCCUGGCUUUUUUCAACGAAGACGGCCAGGCUCGCGAGCCCCGUGGUGCGGGACCCACGUCCGCUGAGGCGGCGCGGCAACGCUCUUCAUGGGGCUCGCAGAUGGAUUUGGCGGAGGAUCCCGAGACUGCCGAGGCACGCUCUCGCGAUUCAUCCGCCAGUUCCGAUGCUCUCCCGCCUCGCGCGGAAGCCCGCCCCGCGGCUUCUUCCGCACGAGUGGAGAGCCCGAUGCUUGAGCUGUCUGCAUCCGAGGAAGUAGACGUGCUCAGCAUCGAGGGCGGGGAUUUUGGGGAUGACUCGCCACCCCAUGUCCCUGCAUAUGAGGAGCUUCUAGAGGUUGUCUCUCGUGCGGUGGCCCGUCUUAAUAUCAGUUGGCCACAUGAGAGGCAGGAAACGCUUAUUAAAAGCAAGUUGGACGAGCGUUUCCUGCAGCACAGAGAGCAACCUCAUCGUCGUGGUUUACCAUUCUUUCCCGAUUUACACAACGAGUUGUGUAAAUCGUGGAACAAACCGCACUCAUCUCGCGUGUCCAACCCCCCUGUGCUAAACUAUAGUGAUAUUUUGGGGGGGCGAGAGAAUGGUUAUGGGAUGAUACCUCGGGUGGAACAGCCGCUUGCCACCUAUUUAGCCCCCGAGUCUGCAUCAUCCCUAAAAACCCCGGUGCUGCCCACUAAACCGUGCCAUGUUACAUCUACAUUAGUGGGCAGGGCUUAUAUGGCUGUGGGUCGGGCUGGUGCUAGUCUGCAUACAAUGGCGAUACUGCAAGCAUACCAGGCCGACCUUCUUAAGGAUAUUGAUGAGGGCGAGGGCCCGACUCCAGAAGAUAUUGCGGAGUUGAGGAAGGCUGCAGAUCUGUCUCUCCGAGUCACCAAGGAAAUGGCCCGUGCUGUCGGCCAUUCCAUGGCGGCGAUGGUGGUCUCGGAGAGACACUUAUGGUUAAAUCUGUCGGGCAUCAGGGAGAAAGACAGGGCUUUCCUCCUCGAUGCCCCGAUUUCGCCUUCUGGCCUGUUCGGAUUGUUGUCUCUCAGAGCAACAUACAUCCCAGGGAAUCAGAAUCAGGGAGCAGAUAUCCUGUCGAGGCAGGGGCUGAAGCCCGGGGAAUGGAGACUCCAUCCCGAGGUGGUGGAGUCAAUAUGUCAGAGGUUCGGCCCAGUGGAAGUGGAUCUAUUCGCAUCUCGGGAGAUGACUCACUGUCCACUGUGGUUCUCCCUCACACAUCCAGCCCCACUGGGGUUGGAUGCCAUGGUACAGACGUGGCCGAGGCUGCGUCUGUAUGCUUUUCCCCCGAUCGCUCUGCUCCCAGGAGUUCUAGAGAGGGUUCGUCGCGACGGCAUCAGUCUAUUAUUGGUAGCCCCAUUGUGGCCAGCCCGAGUAUGGCUCUCAGACAUAAUAUUACUCCUGGACGGCCCUCCAUGGGAGCUUCCCGUCAGGAGGGACCUGCAGACACAGGCAGAGGGCUCAAUAUUUCACCCUUGGCCCGAACUAUGGAAACUGUGGUUCUGGCCCCUAAAGGGGGCACAGUACCGAGAGGCCGACCUGUCAGCAGGAGUAGUGGAGACCAUACUCAGCUCUAGAGCUCCUUCCACCAGGAAAUUGUAAGGCCUAAAAUGGAAUGUUUUCACCUGUCAGAGCUCUCAAAAUAUAUAUCCAGAGGUCCUCCUCAUAGCGGAAGUCAGACCAGUUGUUAGUGUGUUUCGGGUCGCCCAAGAAGGGGCUUCCUGCUUCCAAACAGACCAUUAGCAACUGGAUUGUCCAAGCUAUAUCUAUGGCCUACCAGGUGCGCAAAUUGCCUUCACCUCUGGCCGUGAGGGCUCACUCUACCAGAGGCAUGGCGUCCUCUAGAGCCCUCCUUUCAGGGGUCCCGAUCCAAGAGGUCUGCGAUGCAGCAGGAUGGGCCACCCCUCACACUUUUAUUAGAUUUUACAGCCUGGACAUUCCAUCGACACCUGGCACCCAUGUGCUCUCGUCCUAAGUGUGCCUGUGCGCAGCUUCACACUAGGACAGGCAGGGCUCGUUGUGGCAUAGUGGGAUCUCGUUCCCCAAAGUGUCGGUCGACGCAGUUCGAGGUUCCCUCGAAGGGGAACGUCUCGGGUUACGACUGUAACCCUUGUUCCCCGAGAAAGGGAACGAGAACUGCGUCCCUUCGCCACACCUCCCCCUGCCUGGGAGCGCUUGCUUCAUCACAGAAGCUAUCUCUGUUGUGUGCCGGCGUCCUUUUGUAGCUUCCGCUUAUGCCGUCACACAUUACGUCAUGACGCAACACCAAUCAGGAUUGGCUUAGUUUCAUUCAUACUUCAGAGGCGCUACGCUGAGGGGCAUUUCCCCAAAGUGUCGGUCGACGCAGUUCUCGUUCCCU
ensembl:lncRNA